GGUAUAUAUAAGCUCGCACAAAUCAACGCUCCCUAAAAUUAGGGUUUUUGGCUCACUCUUCUUCUUCGCUUGCAUCCGCCAUCCUACCCAAAAUGCCGAAACAGAUUCACGAGAUAAAGGACUUCCUGCUCACUGCAAGGAGGAAGGAUGCCCAGUCCGUGAAGAUCAAGAAGAGCAAGGAUGUUGUCAAGUUCAAGGUCAGGUGCUCGAAAUACCUUUACACCCUAUGUGUCUUUGACCUUGAGAAGGCCGACAAGUUGAAGCAAUCCCUUCCACCAGGUCUAAGUGUGCUGGACCUUUGAAGCUGGAACGAUCCGCCUUUGGAGAGUUGUAGCACGUCGAAAGGGAUUUAGCUUGAGCUUUUCUCAGUAUAUGUUUGAAGACUGUUUUGAUGGAAAUUAAUUACUCUCAUUUGUAGUGAAAACAUAUGUUGUGAUCAAUACAUGCCUUGGGUGUUUAAGAUCGUAUCAGAUAAUGCUUUACUUUUAAAUAGUAGUAGGACAUGACUUGACAAUUGUGAUUGAAUUUUGCAUUGUUUGGCCCUCGCUUUAUCUGUUCAGACUUGUUCAUUUUAAAUUAAAAAGUUUGUACCUUCAUAAAA